rfam:Gossypium arboreum cultivar AKA8401 contig_11767_1, whole genome shotgun sequence.
AUCCCAUGAUGAGGACACUCACAAAGUAAGUCCUUGAAUCGCUCCCAAGCCUCAUACAAAGACUCUCGUCCAAUUGUUGAAAAGUUGUGAUCAUGUUCCUCAACUU